AUGGCUCAAAGAAAAUUCUGAGCCAAAAGAGGAGGUGAUAUUGCUUAUGGGCCAGACUUUUGAAGGACGACGUUUCCAAAUAUUAGAGAAUGCAGGAAAUGUGUUUGAAUCGUGGCCUAGACUUUUGAACCAACAUAUUAUCGAUGCAGAAUUUAACCUGCUCUACGAAAACAAAGGAAACUCGUUCUGUGCUGACUUCGGACUUCUAGCUACAUCUCUAAUUCUGCAAGCGAAACACUGCGGAAGGCUUGCUGCAGAACAGUUUGCGAAUGGUCUACAGUUAAAUUUUGCUACAAUAGAACCUUCCAACGAAAAAACUUGUGCAGCAUUGCUGCUGCUUCCACUGAUGUUGCCAGAAGGAGGCUUUAAAAAGAAAGGAACUAAGACGAGAAAGAUAAAACCUACGGGCGCUCAGUCGCAGGAUAAUUUUAUACAGUUUCUCCCUGUAUGUUCCAUUUUUUCUCAAUUCAUUAGCUAUAUAUUUUUGUCCCAAAGCUAAUGUAGGAACUACGUGUUUGCAUAUUGUUCAUAAUACUCUGUUGAAUACUGAGGAAAUUAUUUCUAAUUUUAUUGCUUUGGAAUAUUUUUUGUCGAAAAUAGCAGUUUGUGAUGCAUGUAAUGUGCCAUACCAGUGGUACAAAAUAAAUUAAUGUGGAAAUUAUUUUUAAUUUUAUUGUUUUGGAAUACUUUUUGUCGAAAAUAGCUUUUUGUGAUGCGUUUAAUAUUCAGUUUAGGAAAUGAAGUUUUAGUUACGCCUGCUUUUUUAAUGUAACAUAUACCCCUGAUAGGUAUUUGGCUUUUUUUUUUCUUCUC